UAAGACAUGCAAGUCGAACGGAAGUCGUUACAACGGAAGUGGAUUGAAGAUUAUUGGAUUGAAGCAGAAGAUGUAACAAUGGCUUUAGUGGCGGACUGGUGAGUAACACGUAAGCAAUCUGCCUAUUAGAGGGGGAAUAACAAUGAGAAAUCAUUGCUAAUACCGCAUAAGCUUGUAGGAUCGCAUGAUCCAGCAAGAAAGGAGCAAUCCGCUAAUAGAUGAGCUUGCGGCUGAUUAGCUAGUUGGUUAGGUAACGGCUGACCAAGGCAACGAUCAGUAGCCGGGCUGAGAGGCUCUGCGGCCACAUUGGGACUGAGAUACGGCCCAGACUCCUACGGGAGGCAGCAGUCGGGAAUAUUGCGCAAUGGAGGAAACUCUGACGCAGUGACGCCGCGUAUAGGAAGAAGGUUUUAGGAUUGUAAACUAUUUUAGACAGGGAAGAAAAAUGACAGUACCUGUAGAAUAAGCUCCGGCUAACUACGUGCCAGCCGCAGC
rnacentral:rRNA from 1 species